rnacentral:rRNA from 1 species
UACGUAGGGUGCGAGCGUUGUCCGGAAUUACUGGGCGUAAAGAGCUCGUAGGUGGUUUGUCGCGUUGUUCGUGAAAACCGGGGGCUUAACCCUCGGCGUGCGGGCGAUACGGGCAGACUGGAGUACUGCAGGGGAGACUGGAAUUCCUGGUGUAGCGGUGGAAUGCGCAGAUAUCAGGAGGAACACCGGUGGCGAAGGCGGGUCUCUGGGCCGAUACUGACGCUGAGGAGCGAAAGCGUGGGGAGCGAACAG